CAUAUGUCAACGCCGAAGGAAAGUCUCGUAUCCAAUUUCAGAGGAAUCCAAAAACCUGUAAUGGAUGAAACAGUAAUGAAAAUGUUGAGAAGUUUGUUGCACAUCAAACGUGGUAAUGCAAUCAGGUGGUGUAGAGCAUGGAUGAGCUUUAUCUUCUGGAAAUGCCGCCACAAUUAACAGCAUUCCAAGCAACGCGGCUAACGAGAUGGGGAGGGAAAGCAAAUGAUUCUCGUAGUGGCUACAGGCAAUAACCAUAACAUCUUGAUCGGAAGAGGUGGUGAUCAGCCGCAUUACUUACACUGAUGUUUAAAAUUUCUUAAACAAAAGGCAAAACAAUAAAAAUGUUCUUGGGUUA